rnacentral:tRNA from 1 species
GCGGGUGUAGUACAGUGGCAGUACAUGACCUUCCCAAGGUCGAGACAGGGGUUCGAUUCCCCUUACCCGCU